CGCUGAGGCGGCCCUGCUGCGCGCCGUUCCGCUCCCCACCCGGCUGGGGCGCGUCGGAGCUGCGCACAGGCAGCUGCUUUGUUUGCAUAACAGCAGUUGUCGAACAUUUCCUUGUGUCACCGUAACUGCCGUGACCCAGUUCUGCUUUCAGUGUUCGUGUUGAUCACAGGAGCUCCUGCAUGCCUAGAUGAAAAGGAGGUCAAGACUUUAUCCCCUACCCCCCAAAAUACCCUCUCUGUUCCGGAGUGGUGGGGGGGCUGGCUCCUAACAGCCCCUCCCCUGUUAGGACCUUGUCUCCUUCAGGACUGGACCUUAAUCCUGGGCCUGUGGUCAGAUUGCCAGUUUCACUUAGAGGUGGAAAUGUCAACCCCCUGUUUGGAGUGAAAAGGCAGGUGUGGGGCGGGGGAGUACCUUCAUUUCUAUCUGCCCAGGAGGCCAGCCUCUUCCUGCCUAGGCAUUUCCUUCCUGCGGUAUGGGAAGGACCAGGCUUUCUCAGACCGUAGAAGGUUGAGAGCCAAUUCCGUGUGGAGCAAGUGGUGGCUACCAGCCUUGGGUCUACAUAACUAGGGCUCCACAGCCUUCUUGUGUCCCCCUAGGAGGAAAAACACCUGGCAAUUUAAAUUUUUAAAAAUAACUUUAAAAAACAUUGGUAUAGCACACACACACACCCACAGAAAAGUCCACAGAUCCUAAGUAUACCACUAGAUGAAUGAUCCCAACGGGCACACACCUCUGAAGUUAACACUUGGAUCAAGAAACAGGACAUCGCAGCAGCUGGCAGCUUCCAAGGAGAAGCUCCAGAAAGUUCGGCCUGUCUCAGCACCUGGCUGCAUCGGAAACGACUUUUCUUUAACAAGAUUUUUAAUGACUGACUGAUGUGGACAAAUCAUAACUGAAUGAAUAACCUCCUUUGUUAAUUUUCUUCUAAUAGCAAAUAAAGUUGCUGUUAUAAAUGGUGCUGUAAUAAGCACCCUUGAAGAAAUCUUCAUGUCUGCCUCUGCUGUAUAGCAGGUCACAGUGCCCGGGUUUGGUUCUAGCUCUCGUUUGUGAACUCUGUGACUCACCGUGCCUUUUUUUCUUUCUGUAAAAUGGAAUAAUAGUAAGAAUUUAAAUGGGGUAACAUGGAGUGGGUUUAGUUCAGAGCCUGGGUUUAGCUGAGAGCAAGCACUCAGUAAGUAUCAGCGAUUUGUAGACUCUUAGAUUAAUUUAUCAGAAGUUGGAUUUGUGGUGAAAGGGUUAGAGUGUUUUUAAGGCUUUGGCACAAAAAAUACCCAUGUGCUCCCAGAGAGGUGGUUCCCAUUUACCUACCUGAGCUGCCCUCACCCUUUCUGAUACUGGACACUCUUUUCAAAAAGAAUAUUAAAAAUUGGAUAGGUUAAAAACAAGCGUACACAUUUUUUGGUUGCAUUUUUUUGGUUACCUGUGAGAGUGAACAUGUUGCCUUCUGUUUAUCGCUCUCCUAAAUGGUCUACUUGCUCCUACCUUUGUACCCCAGAAGUCUGUUCACAAGACGGGAGCCAGAAUGAUCCUUUUGAGACACCAAAAUUUCACUCAUCUGUUCUGCAGUGGUUCUCAGGUUAAAAGCCAAAGUCCUGUUCAAGGCCUCCCAAGUCCUCACGAUUUGGUCCCUUGCUCUUUCUGUUCCAGCCACCUUGGCCUCCUCCUGCUCUCCCGCCACACCAUGGCCAUUUCCCCUGCUCUUCGUAGUCAACUCCCUGAACUUGUUCAAAGCUUUGCUCAAAUGUCUCCUUUCUCAUGAGGCGCCACCAGCCCCUGAGUUCCCUAUACCUCACUCUUGAUGGCCUUACUUCACUCUUCUUUCUUUUUUUUCUGAUAGUACUUAUCACCUUCUAAAAUACUUCAUGUUUUACUUAUUUGUUUGUUUGUCUCUCUCCAGUAGAAUGUAAGCUCCUUGAGGGCAGGGACCUUUGUCUUUUUCACUCCUGUGUCCCAUGUGUAAACUUGUCUGGCACAGAAGAGGUGCUCGAUAAAUAUUUGUUGAGUGAAUGAAUGGUAAAUUUUCUGCUCAUAUUCUUUGACUAUUUUCUAUUGCAAUGUUCGUCUUUUAGUAUUGGUUUAUAAGAUGUAGUAUAUUUAGCCCCUUUUCAUAUAUCUCUCUUUGUCACAUAUUGUGCAACUAAUUUGUCAUUUCCAUCAAUUUCUAAAAUACUUUUCUUGAUGCUUCA